UAGGGAAUCUUCCGCAAUGGACGCAAGUCUGACGGAGCAACGCCGCGUGAGUGAAGAAGGAUUUCGGUUCGUAAAACUCUGUUGUUAGAGAAGAACAGCGCAUAGAGUAACUGUUAUGCGUGUGACGGUAUCUAACCAGAAAGCCACGGCUAACUACGUGCCAGCAGCCGCGGUAAUACGUAGGUGGCAAGCGUUGUCCGGAUUUAUUGGGCGUAAAGCGAGCGCAGGCGGUCAAUUAAGUCUGAUGUGAAAGCCCCCGGCUCAACCGGGGAGGGUCAUUGGAAACUGGUUGACUUGAGUGCAGAAGAGGAGAGUGGAAUUGCAUGUGUAGCGGUGAAAUGCGUAGAUAUAUGGAGGAACACCAGUGGCGAGGGCGACUCUCUGGUCUGUAACUGACGCUGAGGCUCGAAAGCGUGGGUAGCAAGCAGG
rnacentral:rRNA from 1 species